rnacentral:rRNA from 1 species
AGAGUUUGAUCAUGGCUCAGAUUGAACGCUGGCGGCAGGCCUAACACAUGCAAGUCGAGCGGUAGAGAGAAGCUUGCUUCUCUUGAGAGCGGCGGACGGGUGAGUAAUGCCUAGGAAUCUGCCUGGUAGUGGGGGAUAACGUUCGGAAACGGACGCUAAUACCGCAUACGUCCUACGGGAGAAAGCAGGGGACCUUCGGGCCUUGCGCUAUCAGAUGAGCCUAGGUCGGAUUAGCUAGUUGGUGAGGUAAUGGCUCACCAAGGCGACGAUCCGUAACUGGUCUGAGAGGAUGAUCAGUCACACUGGAACUGAGACACGGUCCAGACUCCUACGGGAGGCAGCAGUGGGGAAUAUUGGACAAUGGGCGAAAGCCUGAUCCAGCCAUGCCGCGUGUGUGAAGAAGGUCUUCGGAUUGUAAAGCACUUUAAGUUGGGAGGAAGGGCAGUUACCUAAUACGUGAUUGUUUUGACGUUACCGACAGAAUAAGCACCGGCUAACUCUGUGCCAGCAGCCGCGGUAAUACAGAGGGUGCAAGCGUUAAUCGGAAUUACUGGGCGUAAAGCGCGCGUAGGUGGUUAGUUAAGUUGGAUGUGAAAUCCCCGGGCUCAACCUGGGAACUGCAUUCAAAACUGACUGACUAGAGUAUGGUAGAGGGUGGUGGAAUUUCCUGUGUAGCGGUGAAAUGCGUAGAUAUAGGAAGGAACACCAGUGGCGAAGGCGACCACCUGGACUGAUACUGACACUGAGGUGCGAAAGCGUGGGGAGCAAACAGGAUUAGAUACCCUGGUAGUCCACGCCGU